UUCAGACUGGAUAAAAGGGUCCUGAUUGCUCCUCUACUCCCCUUCCACUUGAAGACUCUGACCAGAAAUCUGGGCCUCAAUCUGAUGUCAUUGUGCAGGAUCCAACCACAGUGAUGGCCUCAGUUGGUUCAGAGGAGAGAAGACAACACCCUGGAGAACACUGAAGGAUGACGUGGGAGGACCAGGAUCGAGGCUUUAAAAUGAAUAAAUGUAAGCACGUCUAAUUAUUUCUUUCAAAUUUAUAACAACAUUCUUGCUGUUAACAAAUAUAAAUGUAACAUUUACUAGGAAAUAAGAGACUGUAGACGGAAAUAAACAAACCUAAGAUGUAGUUCAUCUAAGUAAACACUGAGGUUAUAAACCUUCCAACUCAAAUAUCAAGAGCCCUGCAAAUUAAUGCUCCACACAAUAGACCCUUUGGAAGCUAACUUA
rnacentral:lncRNA from 1 species